rnacentral:lncRNA from 1 species
AUGUUUAUUGUAGUGCUACAACAAGUAGUUUUCUUAAUAUUGCUGUUCACCUCAUCUUUGUUGUUAUUGUUCAUGCACCUGGAGGCUACUUGGCAAUGGGUGUACACAUAGAAAAUAAGAAACCAGCAAAUUUCAUUGCAUAAUAAUAAUCUAGGAAAGGCAAGCACUGUGACAGAAAUUAUUCUCAUCAUAUUACUCUGCUUUCUAUGAUCACUAUAAAAAUUGUGAAAAGAUCAACUAAAUAAUAAAUAAGAAAAGACUGUGAGAUGCUGAGGAAAAGUGCUGCAUUUAUAGAAAGUGCCAUGUUAUGAUAUUUUUUUCCCUACAAAACGCUCUGCACUGCCAUAAAAUACCCGAAGACUUUAGUAAAAGUGUUAGUUAUUUCUGUACACCUCUCUGGGAAUAUUUGUAGGUGUUUCACCCCUUUUAUUUUUCUCUUUUCUCCCACACCAUUUUCUUUCUUCUU